AUUGAACGCUGGCGGCAGGCCUAACACAUGCAAGUCGAGCGGAUGAAGGGAGCUUGCUCCUGGAUUCAGCGGCGGACGGGUGAGUAAUGCCUAGGAAUCUGCCUGGUAGUGGGGGAUAACGUCCGGAAACGGGCGCUAAUACCGCAUACGUCCUGAGGGAGAAAGUGGGGGAUCUUCGGACCUCACGCUAUCAGAUGAGCCUAGGUCGGAUUAGCUAGUUGGUGGGGUAAAGGCCUACCAAGGCGACGAUCCGUAACUGGUCUGAGAGGAUGAUCAGUCACACUGGAACUGAGACACGGUCCAGACGCCUACGGGAGGCAGCAGUGGGGAAUAUUGGACAAUGGGCGAAAGCCUGAUCCAGCCAUGCCGCGUGGGUGAAGAAGGGCUUCGGAUUGUAAAGCACUUUAAGUUGGGAGGAAGGGCAGUAAGUUAAUACCUUGCUGUUUUGACGUUACCAACAGAAUAAGCACCGGCUAACUUCGU
rnacentral:rRNA from 1 species